GAUAGUGCUUGCACUAUCACUUAGCGGCGGACGGGUGAGUAAUGCUUAGGAAUCUGCCUAUUAGUGGGGGACAACAUUUCGAAAGGAAUGCUAAUACCGCAUACGUCCUACGGGAGAAAGCAGGGGAUCUUCGGACCUUGCGCUAAUAGAUGAGCCUAAGUCGGAUUAGCUAGUUGGUGGGGUAAAGGCCUACCAAGGCGACGAUCUGUAGCGGGUCUGAGAGGAUGAUCCGCCACACUGGGACUGAGACACGGCCCAGACUCCUACGGGAGGCAGCAGUGGGGAAUAUUGGACAAUGGGCGCAAGCCUGAUCCAGCCAUGCCGCGUGUGUGAAGAAGGCCUUAUGGUUGUAAAGCACUUUAAGCGAGGAGGAGGCUACUUUAGUUAAUACCUAGAGAUAGUGGACGUUACUCGCAGAAUAAGCACCGGCUAACUCUGUGCCAGCAGCCGCGGUAAUACAGAGGGUGCAAGCGUUAAUCGGAUUUACUGGGCGUAAAGCGCGCGUAGGCGGCUAAAUUAAGUCAAAUGUGAAAUCCCCGAGCUUAACUUGGGAAUUGCAUUCGAUACUGGUUAGCUAGAGUGUGGGAGAGGAUGGUAGAAUUCCAGGUGUAGCGGUGAAAUGCGUAGAGAUCUGGAGGAAUACCGAUGGCGAAGGCAGCCAUCUGGCCUAACACUGACGCUGAGGUGCGAAAGCAUGGGGAGCAAACAGGAUUAGAUACCCUGGUAGUCCAUGCCGUAAACGAUGUCUACUAGCCGUUGGGGCCUUUGAGGCUUUAGUGGCGCAGCUAACGCGAUAAGUAGACCGCCUGGGGAGUACGGUCGCAAGACUAAAACUCAAAUGAAUUGACGGGGGCCCGCACAAGCGGUGGAGCAUGUGGUUUAAUUCGAUGCAACGCGAAGAACCUUACCUGGCCUUGACAUAGUAAGAACUUUCCAGAGAUGGAUUGGUGCCUUCGGGAACUUACAUACAGGUGCUGCAUGGCUGUCGU
rnacentral:rRNA from 1 species